GACGAACGCUGGCGGCGUGCCUAACACAUGCAAGUCGAACGAGGUCCAUGCAGUGGCAACACUGCGGAAGACCUAGUGGCGAACGGGUGAGUAACACGUGAGGAACUUGCCCCGGAGACCGGGAUAACCCUCCGAAAGGAGAGCUAAUACCGGAUGUCUUCACCGAGUCGCAUGGCUUGGUGAAGAAAUGGAUUCCGCUCCGGGAGAGCCUCGCGGCCUAUCAGCUAGUGGUGGGGUAACGGCCCACCAAGGCAUCGACGGGUAGCUGGUCUGAGAGGACGAUCAGCCACACUGGGACUGAGACACGGCCCAGACUCCUACGGGAGGCAGCAGUGGGGAAUAUUGGACAAUGGGCGCAAGCCUGAUCCAGCGAUGCCGCGUGUGUGAAGAAGGCCUGCGGGUUGUAAAGCACUUUCAGUAGGGAAG
rnacentral:rRNA from 1 species